AACCUGUCUCAGUUCGGAUUGGAGUCUGCAACCCGACUCCAUGAAGCUGGAUUCGCUAGUAAUCGCGCAUCAGCCACGGCGCGGUGAAUACGUUCCCGGGCCUUGUACACACCGCCCGUCAAGCCAUGGGAGCCGGGGUGCCUGAAGGCCGUGACCGCGAGGAGCGGCCUAGGGUAAAACUGGUGACUGGGGCUAAGUCGUAACAAGGUACC
rnacentral:rRNA from 1 species